GUAAGAGUACAGGAUAUCAACCGCAGUCACUGAGCUCCAGGUUGCUUCGGGGCUUUGAGUCUUAUCAUAUCUUUUUGCAUUGUAUAGUAUCUUAUCAUGAGGCGGGGCCUGUCCCGACCCUUAUAAGAUAAUGUUUCUUGUCUAGAGGCUUUGUAGACUACGUAAAGUAUAGUAUGGUCAUGUAUCGUAUCGUAGACAUUGUGGCUACAACGGCCUAGUCAUAUAAUAUCUUUUGGCUUGCUAGUCCUAUUUAUCUUUUGAGGGCAUGUUUAGUAUGAAAGUAACUUAUAAUGUUCAUAGGUAAUGUAU
rnacentral:lncRNA from 1 species